rnacentral:lncRNA from 1 species
CACUGAUCAGACCCAGAGCUCAGCUUCUUCUCAGUCUCAUUUGUCUACCUUUCCUGUAAUUCGCCGUGUGCUGCCGUGGCUCACAGGAGACUAGGACUCACUGCAGAGGUUCUGUACUGAGGACUGAACCAUGCACGCCAAAUAAGCACUGCACUGAGCUACAUCUUUGGCCUUUUUUCAUUUUGAGACAGGGUGUCUCUAAGUUGCCAAGGCUAGCCUUCAACUUGAGAUUCACCUGCCUCAACCUUGCCAGAGUUGGGGUUAUACGUGUGUGUCAUCACAGCUGGCCAAGCAUGUUUUUAAUGCACAUAUACCAGAUUUUCGUAUAACCUAAAAUGAUCAAAGUAACAAUAUUGAGUCUACCAGUGUGACAAUGGAAGAAAAAAUUGGCCCAAGAUAUGAACUUCACCAAAGAAUAUAUUUGGAUGGGUAAAUUAAAAGGUGCUCAACAGCUGAUUAUUAGGGAAAUGAACUAUUUUUUUUUUGGUACCAGGGAUCGAACUGAGGACCCUGUGCUUGCAAGGCAGGCAUAGUGCCACUGAGUUAAAUCCCCAGCCUGAGAAAUGAACUUUAAAGCUACCAAAGGGUGCUGCUAUAUUUAAUAAAAUGUCUCACAGGGCCGGGGAUUUAGCUCAGUGGUUUCGCCGCCUGCUGUGCAAGCGCAAGGACCCGAGAUCGAUCUCCAGUACCUAAAAACAAACAAAGACUCACAUGUAGAAGUCUGAUCAUGAUACAGGUUGGAAGGAAUGGAGGGGAACUGGAGCUCUCAGAUGCUAUUAGUGGACACGUAGGAAUCUAUAACCACAUGGGGAAAAUCUGGCAGUUUCUUCAAAAGCAAAGCAUGCGCCUACCCAAUGAUGCAGCCAUCCCAGCCCAAGAUCGUCACCAAGCGGGACGAAAGCACAUGUCCAUACAGACUUGUUUGUGAACAGCCAGGGCUGCUUCCCUGUCUCAGCUAAGCGCUGGAAUCCACUGGAACGCCCACCAUGUGAAUGCAUAAGGAAACAGUGGUUUACCCUGGAGAAGGAGCCCUUCCCACCAGGAGGCAGGAAUGACCCACUGAUACAACAACACGGACAAAUCUCUAAAUAAUCAAACUGGUUCAGAGUGGCAACAAAGAUGACAUGCUAGGGCUGGGGAUUUAGCUCAGUGGUUUCUUCGCCUGCUGCGCAAGCACAAGGGCCCAAGUUCGAUCCCCGGUACCAAAAAAAAAAAAAAAAGAUGACAUGCUGUAUGGCUCCACUUUUGUAAAAUGGAAAGGCAAACCCAUAGUCACAGGAAGGGGUGGUUGUUGCGUGGUGGGUAUGCAGGGAAGAGAAGAGGAGGGCCCACAGAAGGGACGAGGGUGAUGUUUAUUAUGGUGGGGCUUGGGAAGCUGUAACAAGUGUACACAGUUGGGAAAAUGGAUCAAAAUAAGGGCAGAAGGUGUAGCUCAAUGGUAGAAUGCUUGCUUAGCACUCAUGGAGCCCUGGGUUGGUCUCUAGCAUUGCAAAAAAAAAAAAAAAAAUCAUGCUGUUUCAAUAUGUGCAGUUUACAAGAUGUAUUAAAAAUAUUCAGUGACUCUUUAAACAAAAACUUACUGCAGUAAAAGAUACAUUGCCAUGAAUCCCCCUCAAAAUCCUCCCCCUAGGGCCGGGGAUUUAGCUCAGUGGUUCUGGUGCCUGCUCAAAAGCGCAAGGUCCCAAGUUUGAUCCCCAGUACCAGAAAAAAAAAACACAAAAACCCUCCCCCUUGCUUCAAAUACCAUGUAUUUCAUUGUUCUUGGCACUUUCUGAAGCAGUUCUGGAAGUUUUUUUAUUUUUUUUGGUACCAGGGAUCACUCUCAGGACCCUGGGAUUGAGAGGUAGGUGGUGGAGCCACUGAGCUAAAUCCCCGGCCCUGGAAGUUCUCUUUCAAGGGUGUCUUUAUGAGAUGGGAUCAAAAAUACAGUGAAUGCUGCUGCCAAACACCAUCCAACAGAAAGGGUCCUAAAAACAUGAUGCUGCGUCCUCAUCCAUCUCAGUCAUGGAUUUGACACUGUGCACUUCCGGCUCUUCCUCAGUCAAAAUGACCAUGACAGGGAAAUGCUUUGGAUCAAUUCAGGACAUCAGAGCAGCCACAACAGUGCAACUAAAGACACUCAGGAAAGAGGACUCCAGAAUGGCUUCAGAAAGCAGCAAGAACGAAGGGGUCAGUGUACUUAAAGGGAGGGGGAUUAAUGGUAAUGUCUUUUACUAUAUUUUUUUAAAAAUGAAGUAUUUGGGGCUGGGGAUUUAGCUCAGUGGUUUCACUGCCUGCUGCGCAAGCACAAGGACCCAAGUUCAAUCCCCAGUACCAAAAAACAAAACAAAAAAUAAAAUAUUCAAGAAAAAAG